UCGGGGCGCCAAGACGUCCCAGCGGAAGAAUGGCCAAAAAACGGGCUGGCUAUUGCCUUGGUGGGGGGCGUAAGCGAAGUUCGUCCGCCGGAUUCGGAAUGGCCCCAGACUUUGCGGGCGGCCUCCGUUUGCCAAUAUUAGCCAACGGGCACAGCCGCGCCCAAAAAUCAGCCCCCGAAGGUCGGGGAACCAAGACCCCCCAGCGGAAAAAUGGCCAAAAAACGGGUGGGCUAUAGCCUUGGUGGGGGGCAUGGGCGAAGUUCGUCCGCCGGACUCGGAAUGGCCCCAGACUUUGCGGGCGGCCUCCGUGUGCCAACAUUAGGCCACGGGCACAGCUGCACGCAAAAUUCAGCCCCCGAAGGUCGGGGCGCCAAGACCCCCCAGCGGAAAAAUGGCCAAAAAACGGGUGGGCUAUUGCCUUGGUGGGGGGCGUGGGCGAAGUUCGUCCGCCGGACUCGGAAUGGCCCCAGACUUUGCGGGCGGCCUCCGUGUGCCAAAAUUAGGCCACGGGCACAGCUGCGCAAAAAAAUCAGCCCCCGAAGGUCGGGGCGCCAAGACGCCCCAGCGGAAGAAUGGCCAAAAAACGGGCUGGCUAUUGCCUUGGUGGGGGGCGUGGGCGAGUUCGUCCGCCGGACUCGGAAUGGCCCCAGACUUUGCGGGCGGCCUCC
rnacentral:lncRNA from 1 species